GGUAGCUAUGUGUGGACGGGAUAAGUGCUGAAAGCAUCUAAGCAUGAAGCCCCCCUCAAGAUGAGAUUUCCCAUUACGCAAGUAAGUAAGAUCCCUCAAAGACGAUGAGGUAGAUAGGUUCGAGGUGGAAGUGUGGCGACACAUGGAGCUGACGAAUACUAAUCGAUCGAGGACUUAACCAAAU
rnacentral:rRNA from 1 species